GGAAGGAUCAUUAACACGUAUCCACACGUAUCCCACCCUCAUGCGAAUUUGUUUUCAACUAUUGUUUAAUACUAAACAAACCAUUUUCACCUUUAAAACUUUUGCUAGUUGACUUUGUUUUAAAAAAGGAAUAUAUAUGCAUGCAUGUAUUUUUCUUUUGUUAAUUUUCCAAUCUAUUUGAAAAUUCACACACAUACAACUCUUAGCAAUGGAUAUCUUGGUUCUCGCACCGAUGAAGAACGCAGCGAAAUGCGAUACGUAAUGCGAAUUGCAGAAUUCAGUGAAUCAUCAAAUCUUUGAACGCAAAUUGCGCUCUUGGGUCAGGCCUAGGAGCACGCCUCUCUCAGUAUCGGUUCUAUCUAUAAUCAGCGGCGUAUAUGUGUAAACAUGUGCGCGUCGGCUGGAGAAUGAGAGUCUGAAUAUGAACAAUCAGUUUAUUAAUCAGUCUCUUUAAAUCCAUGGAAUGUGCCGCAAUCACCUAGCUGCUUGCCAUCUGCGAGCGACGUGAAUAUUGGCGCUAUCAGCGUCUCGUUUUCGUCGCAAUUCGUUUGUUGUGAGCGUUUUACAUGGUUAUGUGUGUAGGUUUAUUGACAUGACAAGUGGUUGUGAUUCGUUCACACUACAAUGUGAAUUAAUUAAAUUCAUUUUUAAUUGUUCAUACUAAAACUUUCGAUCUGAGAUGAAGUGAGACAACCCCCUGAAUUUAAGCAUAUUAAUAAGGGGAGGAAAAUAAACUAACAAGGAUUCCCUUAGUAACGGCGAGUGAAGCGGGAUGAGCUCAAUGUGCGAAUCGACCCUCCAAACGGUGAGUCGAGUUGUAGCCUGUGGCCCCACUAUCAGCCGGCCGUUCGGUUCAAGUUCUUUGGAAUGAGACUGUCAUAGAGGGUGAUAACCCCGUCGCAGACCGAAUCCAUUCAAAUGUAAGAGCCGGCGUACGAUGUGUGUGCCUCGAGUCGAGUUGUUUGGGAUUGCAGCUCUAAAUGGGUGGUAAGUUUCAUCUAAAGCUAAAUAGCGGCGAGAGACCGAUAGCGAACAAGUACCGUGAGGGAAAGAUGAAAAGAACUUUGAAAAGAGAGUCAAAAGUACUUGAAAUUGCUAAGAGGGAAGCGAGGGCAAACAGUGAUGUGGAGUCGAUUUGCAUCGCCGUCCGCCCCACUAGCAUUUGAUUGACAGUUGUGACAACGCUCUGUUUGGUUGGAUGCGAAAGGGAGGGGGACGGUUCAGCUGGUCGGCCGUGUCAAGAUCAAUUCGAACGGGGGGAGAAGGGCGGCAGAGAGGUAGGAACAGCAGCAAUGUUGUUCUGUUAUACUCUGUCAUCACGACCUCGGUUUGGAUUGAGGAAGUAAUAGUGCGCCGCUUGCGGCUUGGUUGUGUGUCCCUGCCGGGUCUGAAUUGGGUUGAUCGCAACGCUAUCACUCCGAUUCGAUCUGGUACUGGAUUCAUCUAUCCUCUGUGCUAUCACGAUCUUGUACGAAAUGUUUGUCCUCGACCCGUCUUGAAACACGGACCAAGGAGUCUAACAUCUAUGCGAGUAAGUGGGUGUUUGAAACCCGCGUGCGAAAUGAAAGUGAAUGUGGCCUUGUUGUCACAGAGGUAGGAAUCUGUCCGUCUAGGUAGACAGAAGCACUAUCGUCCGAUCGUCACUUGUGAAAGAUUUGAGUGCGAGCAUAUCUGUUGGGACCCGAAAGAUGGUGAUCUAUGCCUGAACAGGGUGAAGCCAGGGGAAACUCUGGUGGAGGCUCGUAGCGAUACUGACGUGCAAAUCGUUCGUCUGAUUUGGGUAUAGGGGCGAAAGACUAAUCGAACCAUCUAGUAGCUGGUUCCCUC
rnacentral:misc_RNA from 1 species